rnacentral:rRNA from 1 species
GAUGAACGCUGGCGGCGUGCCUAAUACAUGCAAGUCGAGCGAACAGACGAGGAGCUUGCUCCUCUGACGUUAGCGGCGGACGGGUGAGUAACACGUGGAUAACCUACCUAUAAGACUGGGAUAACUUCGGGAAACCGGAGCUAAUACCGGAUAAUAUAUUGAACCGCAUGGUUCAAUAGUGAAAGACGGUUUUGCUGUCACUUAUAGAUGGAUCCGCGCCGCAUUAGCUAGUUGGUAAGGUAACGGCUUACCAAGGCAACGAUGCGUAGCCGACCUGAGAGGGUGAUCGGCCACACGGGAACUGAGACACGGUCCAGACUACUAAGGGAGGCAGCAGUAGGGAAUCGUACGCAAUGGGCGAAAGCCUGACGGAGCAACGGCGCGUGAGUGAUGAAGGUCUUCGGAUCGUAAAAAUCUGUUAUUAGGGAAGAACAAAUGUGUAAGUAACUAUGCACGUCUUGACGGUACCUAAUCAGAAAGCCACGGCUAACUACGUG